ensembl:ncRNA asRNA:CR44981 antisense RNA:CR44981
GCUGGCCCUUGUCAUCUUUUACAUUUCUUUCAAACCAGCGCGAAGAGCAGUAGGCACCAAAUACCUAAUAAAAAGAAUCAAAAUUUGAUUUAGAAACUAUUCAAAUACCACAUUUUCACCACGUUUUCACAUCAAACAACCUUAGAACAUUGUAAUUUACCUCAUUAUUGCACGUCUUGAUCAUGAGCAGCGUGGGUUCAUGCUGCUCCACCCGAACGUAGAACGUGGUUAGUGAGCAGCCGUGCUCCUCCGUGGUGUAGAGCAGCACCGGUUGGUACAUUGUUAUCCGCACGGGCAGCCAGGACCACAGCGUGAACAGCUAUGGGAGAACGAAUGGCAUGUUUGUUAGCAACUCAUCCGAACACGAUUGAAAGCUAGAACUUGUCUACAACUACGAGUAACGUAUUGAAAAGGGUAGCAAUUAGCCAAUGACAGAACAAAAUACGUUGGCGUGGGUAAAGUAGAGUGAAAGAACAUGAACUAAGAGGCCAAAAGUUCAACGAAAAAACAACUAAAAGCCGGGGUUACGUAACAUAUAAGAGGCAACAACUCUCGAUGAGGUCUAAAAUCUACAGAGAAUAAACUAUGGCGCAGUUCACUUCCAACUGUAAGCAGCGGCGGCGGCACGGCAGCAGCGCAUCUCAAACUGUGGCUCGGCGGCACUCAAACUAUGAAAUGCAGACUACUGACAAUUAACAGUUAACAGCAGGACAAUGACACUAUUACAAAGACAGGGACUGUUUUGAAAUAUUAUCUAGGACGGGCACGGAAUGAAAACUGUUUCUAAAUUUGGAUGGGAGUUUCAAGGAAUAAUUGCAUUCACUUUAAUGGAAUCACGGAAUGGAUUGUAAUGGCAAUGGGGAGGGGAAAACAGGUUUUUAUGAAAUUCUUUGUGCCCGGCAAACCAAAAUGCUAUGAAAAGAUAUAGAUGGAUAUAUAGCAAAAAAUUAUAUGCAAUGUGGCGGAUGAGAUCUUGGGAGAACGCAUGAAAUCGACUUAUAGAUGUGCUAGCUGACUCUCCUAUACCCUUCAUUCUAACGUAUUCGUUAUGGCAAGAAUUGGGACCCAAACUGGAUUGACGUAACUAAAACUCAGAGAUAAUCAAUUAUAGUGGAAGAAAUGCCAACUACACUGAAAACUUAAAAAUGAUGGCAAACGAAACUUUACGAACGGAAUAAAUCAACUACAAUAGUUUCCAUUCGAUUGAAAACAAAUUCUGGCACUACAUGCAGUUUUUGUGGCUUGAAUGAAAUGCGGAUAAAAAGUGAGCCAAAAGCAUCAAGAUAUUUUCGAGUUAUACAUAUUAUAGUACGAAU